GAUGAACGCUGGCGGCGUGCCUAACACAUGCAAGUCGAACGAAACACCUUACCUGAUUCUUCGUAUGGAAGUGUGGGUACUGAGUGGCGGACGGGUGAGUAACGCGCUGGUAACCUGCCCUGGACAGGGGGAGAAAAGCUGGUACCGGAUGCUAUAACCCCUUAAGCGCAAAGGAGGACAUCUUCUUGUGUGAAAAACUCCGGUGAGACAGGAUGGGCCCGGUUCGGUUUAGCUGGUUGGCAGGGUAACGGCGUAGCAAGGCACCGACCAGUAGCCGGUCGGAGAGGAUGAACCGCGACACUGGAACUGAGACACGGUCCAAACUCCUACGGGAGGCAGGAGUGGGGAAUAUUGCACAAUGGGGUAAACCAUGAUGCAGCAACGCCGCGUGAGUGAAGAAGUAUUGCAGUAUGUAAAGCUCUAUCAUCAGGGACGAUAAUGACGGUACCUGAAGAAGAAGCACCGGCUAACUACGUG
rnacentral:rRNA from 1 species